UGGGUUAAGUCCCGCAACGAGCGCAACCCUUAUCCUUUGUUGCCAGCGGUCCGGCCGGGAACUCAAAGGAGACUGCCAGUGAUAAACUGGAGGAAGGUGGGGAUGACGUCAAGUCAUCAUGGCCCUUACGACCAGGGCUACACACGUGCUACAAUGGCGCAUACAAAGAGAAGCGACCUCGCGAGAGCAAGCGGACCUCAUAAAGUGCGUCGUAGUCCGGAUUGGAGUCUGCAACUCGACUCCAUGAAGUCGGAAUCGCUAGUAAUCGUGGAUCAGAAUGCCACGGUGAAUACGUUCCCGGGCCUUGUACACACC
rnacentral:rRNA from 1 species